AUUGCUAGGUGCUGGAGAGGCAAUGAGAGCACAUUCGGAGCCCUGCUCGCCUGAACUUUACCAUGGAGUGGAGGAGUGGACAUUAGUGACAUAAUUGCUCAAGUAAAUGGAGAAUUUCAGCGUUGACAAGUAUUAGUAAAGAGAAGUUCAGCGUGCUACAACCAUGAAUAAGCAAGGGACCCAAUCUAGUCUUGGGGUCAGGGAAGUGAUCCUGGAGAAGUGAAGAAUGAGCAGUUUUCUGAGUAAAGGGGAGUCGGUCAAAGCAAGAGAGAGCAUGGCCUGGUAUGUGAAAGUUUGGCGCUGGAGGAUCUACCUCUGAGAUGGCUCAUUCACAUGGCUGUUUGCAGCAGAUCUCAGUUCAUUACUACAUGGAUCUCUCCACAAGACUGCUUGAGUGUCCUCACAUGGCAGGAGGUCUUCCUUCAGAGUAAGUGAACUAAGAAAAAGCAAGGAAGAAGCC
rnacentral:lncRNA from 10 species